GAAAUCCCAGGACUUAUGGAAUACCAAGAGUGGUGUGGGGCGUGUGCGACGAUUUCGCCGCCCGAGGCUUGAACCAUGGCUGGGCGUAUGCGACGAUUUCGCCGCCAGAUGGUUAAGCCAGUUUGUUAAUUAUGCCGCCAGGUGACUUGAGCCAGUGCUGGGCGUGUGCGACAAUUUCGGCGCCAGGUGGCUAAGUCAUGGAGUGCGGUGGGCUGUUGAGCAGCUAGU
rnacentral:lncRNA from 1 species